rnacentral:lncRNA from 1 species
AGAGAUUAGAAAUUCCAAAAAAAAAUCGCAUACACAAAAAGUCAUUGAAUUCAGGUAGUUUGGUAACUGUGUCAACUAGUUUAUUCUCAGAUGCAACAUGUUCAAUGAUAACAAGUUUUUCCUCGAUCAAUUCUCUAACAGGAAGAUGUCUAGUUUCUACUUGCUUAGUCAAUGAUAAUUGAACAGGAUUCUCGAUUAUGCAGAUGUCAUUCAAGUUAUUGCAGUGAACAUCAAAAUGGUCAAAAAGACUACCAUACUCAACGUAUGUCGAUCUUUUUACCAAUAUAUGGGUCCACAACUUUCUCAAGGCUGUGUAUUCCAUUU